rnacentral:rRNA from 1 species
GGGGCGAAGGUAAGAUUAGGCGGGGGAGGGCUCUGCGGUUUCGGGGUUUGGGGAACGGGAGGGUUUGGGAUUGGGNUUUUGGAGGCGGGAGGGCGGCGGCGGCGGCGGGCUAAGGGGAGGGGUCGGAGGCGUAGGGCGGAUGCCGAACUUGCUACAGCAGGCUGCUCCUCCAGUCCCUCCUCUUCCUCGAGCUGGAGAGGAGGUUGCUCCAGCAGUGGUUCAUGUUCUGGCGGCGGCUCUAGUAAUUGUUCCGAGACUUCAACCAUAACAGCCUCACGUUCGGCUUUCGGUUCUAACAACUGUAAACACUCUUCCCACUGUUAAAGUAUUGUCUCGUUUGACCCUUACAGAUGUUCUUGCACUUCUCCUUCUAACUUUCCCCGUAACGAAAGGGCUGUACACAUAGACACUUGUUGUGGCAGACAGUAAAGAGGGGUGACCGUUGACUGCUAAGACAUGAGCUUCUUUUACUGUACCACUUCUAGCUAUACCGAACGGUAUAACUACCAAAAUAACGACACCACCGAGUAUGUGUACAUUAGUUUCGACCCGGCCAAUGACCUUCUCGUCGAUUACAAGAACGACGACGUUUGUGUCGUCGUCUUCAACGUUACUCCGAACAAUCUGGACCGUUCUUCUUAUUCCUACAGUGACUUCGUUAAGUCUUUCAACGACGACGAAUACUAACAUUUUAACAACUUCCUCAAGAAUCGGUAGUCGACUUUGUUAAACAGUAGCUACCAUUGUUUCACCAUGAAUCACAAAGUUUGCGCCUGUGUUUCCACCUACUACGACUUAAACUUCUUUUACUUCACAUACGUUAACUAUAACAGUGGUCGUGACCGCUCCCUUUCGGCUUCGAUGACCUACUCUUCGUCUGGUGAUAAAUGUUCUCUCGACAUCUGUUCUUGAUAGUGAACUUCUACUUCCGUAGUUCCAAGUAGAAGUCACUCUAAUCGGUCUUCAAGGGUUAGUACGGUAAGUGACGAUCCCGCGACCUCCUCUUCGCACGUGCGAAUCCAAACCAUCUUACGUACUUAGUACUCGACAACGUCGGUAUGGGACAAGAUGUACUCUUCGUUCCGCUGGACCAACGGGUGUAGUUCAAGUGGCACAACAACUACGGUUUACCCAGACUGUUCUAUUGAAGUGUAGGUGAUGUCGUUGACCUCGGGAGUUUUAGGUAGCUCCCGCUACGACUCUAAUUCCGAACCGAACGAAACCCGUGUUUCAGUUUCUUCUUCCCACCACCGUUCUUUUUCUUUCCGUUCUUUCCUCUACGACGUCUUCAUCGUCUCGGGUACCUCCAAAGAUUCCUGCGUGGUUCGGUCCUUAUUAAGAGUAAAAAAAACUUAACGAAGGAAAUGCAAACAUGGACGAGAAACGACGUAGACUAACACAAUAUAAUGUAAGUCGACACCCCUAAACUCAUGGAAAAAAACUUCACAGAUUACUUUUACCAACUAGGACCACGUGUAGUGUAGUUUCAUGUUCGGACUAUUAAUACGUACCACACGGCUUACAAAUGGACAGUCAUUACGAAUAUUUAGGCCGCAUUCAAGGUGAUGACACACUACAAAUGGACACG